rnacentral:rRNA from 1 species
CCUACGGGUGGCUGCAGUGAGGAAUAUUGGACAAUGGGCGAGAGCCUGAUCCAGCCAUGCCGCGUGCAGGAUGACUGCCCUAUGGGUUGUAAACUGCUUUUAUACAGGAAGAAACGGCUUUACGUGUAGAGCUCCGACGGUACUGUAAGAAUAAGGAUCGGCUAACUCCGUGCCAGCAGCCGCGGUAAUACGGAGGAUCCAAGCGUUAUCCGGAAUCAUUGGGUUUAAAGGGUCCGUAGGUGGAUAAUUAAGUCAGAGGUGAAAUCCUGCAGCUCAACUGUAGAAUUGCCUUUGAUACUGGUUAUCUUGAGUUACUAUGAAGUAGUUAGAAUAUGUAGUGUAGCGGUGAAAUGCAUAGAUAUUACAUAGAAUACCAAUUGCGAAGGCAGAUUACUAAUAGUACACUGACACUGAUGGACGAAAGCGUGGGUAGCGAACGG